AUGGUGAGAGGAAAAACUCAGAUGAAACGUAUAGAGAAUGCAACAAGCAGACAAGUUACAUUUUCAAAGAGAAGAAAUGGUUUGUUGAAGAAAGCUUUUGAACUAUCUGUUCUUUGUGAUGCUGAAGUUGCUCUUAUCAUCUUUUCACCAAGAGGAAAACUUUAUGAGUUUUCUAGCUCCUG